CUUCCAACGACCGUCUCUGUCUCCGCCCCGUCCCUAAAGGCCCCGCCCACUCCGCUCCUGAAGGCCACGCCCUUCCAGCCUGAAGGAUGCUGACACCACCCGGAACCCCAGCGCAAAAUCAAGGGCAGAGUCACAAGUGCUCUCUAAGACGUGUGAGAGAUGCAAGAUUUUGCACAGGAAGAAUGAGACUGUGGACCGCACAGGGAAACUGCUUGGGCAGCAGUGAGCAGCACCUGCGGAGUGAGGGGAUUCUUCACACACAUCACCUGACAACAGGAACUGCAAACAGCACACAGAACAUACAGAAAUUGUGGCAAAUACUGGACUCUAUCAGAUAUUCAGUUCAUCCUGUGAAACUUUUAGAGUUUGCUACUCUGCAACUUAACUGCCUGGGAGCUACCAGUCACAUGUAGUUAAGUGGACAAUGGAAAUGUAAUUAGUCCAAACUGACAUGUGCUUUACAUAAAACACACUCUGAAUUCCAAAGAUUUAACAGGAAAAAAUAUUACUGUGAAUAGCUCAAAAUUUUAUUGAUUAAAAGUUGACAUAUUAACAUUUUGGAUAUACUGGAUUAAAUAUGUAUUGUUAAGAUUAAUUUCAAAUAAAAAAUUUUACAUAACUAUUGGAAAAAUUAAAAUAACAUAUAUUGCUCACAUCAUAUUUCUAUUGCACAGCCCUGUUUUAUAUAGCAAAGCUCAUUCUAUAACAAGACAGUUGUGUGCAUCACUGUGGCAGGGAUUACUUUUUAUUCUAUGACAUUUUCCACCAAUUCCUUGAUGUCAAUAGUCAUGUUGCUUGAUUAGUAUGCCUCAUGUAAUAAACUGGGCCAAAAAAAAAAAAAUUCCACAUGAUUAGAUUCAGCAUAAAAGAUCUAUUAAGCAUUAUAUAAAAAUAAUAAUAGAAAAAAGUUGGUUCCAACCACUUGUUCAACCUGUGAGAACAUACAGGAAUAUGUAGAAAUAUUAAAACGGCCUUUUGAAGGUCAUGCAUAAGAAGAUAUUACUGGAUAGCGUGUCAUGUCAGACAUAAGUAUAUGUACUUCUACAUACAUGUAUGUCUGAAAGUCACAGAGGCAUUAAGUUUGAAGCAAUAAUCAAAUGACUAAGUGAACAUUUUCUUUAAGCAGUUGGGAAAGCAAAAUAGACAGAGUAGACAAAAGCUAAAGACAAUUUAAGGAAGGACAGGAGUAAAAUCCAGCUCAGUCUCUCUCCAAAGAUGUUGAUGCCCACUGGAAGGGCAAAGAGGGCAAAGAAUAUCCGAGUGCGCACAGAAGUAGAAGGUGGAGCGCCGGCACAGGCACGGGGCGAAGGAGCUAAAUGGCGUAGGGGAGCAAGAAAAGAAGGGGAGAAACAGAAGGACAAGCUGUGGACACGUCACUGCCUAGGUGACAGCCGGGUGACGAGAAGAAAUGGAGGAAAAGACAGGAAAAUGGAGCCUAAAUUACACAGGGGCUUGUUAUGGAUCUCUAAACACGGUCAAACUGGAAGGGGAGACCACUGCUUAAGAGAGCCUAGAGUUCACACAGGAAGAAAGAACAGAUGUGAGAUUAUCAUCAGACAGUCAACUUAAAAAGGACUAAACAAGCACAGCUUUCUUACUUCCAUCGACGUUACAACCUCUAUGACCUAGGUUUUCAUCCCUGGUAGGACGCUGCAGGGUGAUCUGCCUAUCAAUAUGGAAUCUCCAGAAAGAAAAAGCAAACCAUGGAUGUUGUCCAGAGAGGGUGGCCCACACAGCAGGCAGGCAGGUAAGAAACAAAGGUCACUGGGCUGACAGAUUUCAGGGAACAAAAAAGCUGCAGGAUGUGGUGUCAGGAGAAACACAGCUAACAUUAGGUAUUAGCUAUGGAGUUAAAAUGAAGUAGAAGCAGCUACAGCUCAGUAAACACUGGGGGAGGCAGAGUGGCUUGAGAUGCAUCAUUCCCAGGUUCAGACCCUGCAAAAGACUUCUCAUGGCUGACAGGAUACAUCCAAAUGCCUUCCCUUGUUCACAAGGCCUGCGUUCACCUGCACAUGCUCUGCACUAUGCACCUGGCAGACACCAAGCUCCAGCACACUGACUCCUGCCUACUCCACGACCACGCCAAGUUCAUGCCACGUGGCCUGACAGUAGCUGUUCGCUCUGCCUGGAAAAUGCUCUCCUCUGAUCUUGCACGGCUGGCUCUCUGCCAUUCAGGCUUCCCUCGGGGGCAGACUACUACCCGGGAAGAACAUGUGGCUCUGUCUCCGAGAUGGAUAGUUGGUGUAAAAUUUCCAGGCUAGGCUAGUGGACACUGGCAUCAGCAUGAAAGGUGACAAUCCUGACCAGCAUGUCUCCAGGACGCAGCACCCAAAUUAUUUUCUGAUAAAAGCUCACAGACACUCUCUUUGCUGGGAUUUUUUUUUUUUUUUGAGGUCCAUGUUUUUUUUUUAGAUUUCUCAACUUUCAUAAAAAAGAUAUCGCUCAUACUAACUCAGUUCACUACCACUGCACAUGGCUCUGAGCUUAGCCAGCAGGACCAAGAAUUACACUUGGUGUAUACCCAUAACUGGAGCCUUAGGUAAGAGCUGAAAGAACUACCUUUUAGUACAGUAAUUCAUAUAUAUACACAUGUAUAUGGUACAAGGCUAUAUGGUUUUCACUGUCAUUUAAGCAUCAAUUAUAACACUGUCAUUUAAGAUAUCCACAUUUUUAAAACAUAAGAAGUGCUUCAUGCUGUGACAGACGAUUAGGACAACGAAAAAUACAAAUGAAAGAUUUUAUAGGAUGAUUACCUCAUCUGUAUAUUCCUGCAAAGUAGGAUAUUGCUACUGGCAAUAUUCUUUACCUCCUUGCAUUGAAACAGAGAGUCAGAAAGCUGUGUCUUCAGGUUGCAUUGUUUACGAUCCCCAAGGAAUAGAAUUUGCUCGGUUGGGCUUUGGUUUUACACCACUGACUUAUAUUGAGGGCUGUUACAAGAAACUGCCCUGUGGGAUCUACUUAAGCUGCUGUGAGACAAAUCUUCACUGCCCUGUAGUGUGUACACACAGUCUAGUGAACUCUUAUUACUGCAAAUCAGGCAAACCGCUCGCACACCCUUCUUCAUGCUGACUGCUCGGGCGUUCCGCAGCCGGCUGUGCGGCUCAGGCCUAGGGAGUACACUUCCUCUGGGAGUCAACCUCACCCUAUUCUCUCUUCCCACUGGCCAAAUUCUCUUCUUACCUUGAGUCUCUGUAAGUCUACUCUGGGACAAGGGAAGGCACCAACAAUUUAAGUGUAUCUUUUUAGCUUUAUGUUGGCAGCAGGAACUAUGCAUGGUAACUGACAGCAAAUCAUCUCAACUCAGUUCUUACAUUUCAUUAUUUUACAAAAUAUUUUAUGAUCCCUAACAUAUAAAUGUAUAUAAAUCACGUAUGUUAUGUGAACAUAGUCUGCAAGAGAAAGCAGUACUGUCAAUAAGUAACAGAAUUUCUUGUGUUGGAACCAUGGUCAUAGAAAAGUUUGCAUGUUGUUUAGUGAAGUCUAAAUCAUGAUGAUGUACAAAAGGCUAAAUAAAAACUCUCAAACACACCCACAAUUGUUUUAUUCAAUUGGAAAAGUGUGUUGUAACACCCAGAGUAUAAUCAACUCUGAUGAAUGGCAUCACAGUCUGUGCACUUAAUGAAGUAAUUCACUUCCUGAGGUCUUAAAAUAAACACCACCCAUAAUAGUAGCUGUGCAUGAAUGUUCUUUUUCUCCCAGAUGAAACAGUGUAUAAUCCAAAACAUGUUUAAAACUUUAAAUUUCUUAUUAGCCUAAAUACAAUCUGACAUUUCAGUCUGCCUUCCCUAUAAUUUAUGUCUGUACAGGGAUUAAGGGCAAUAUGAUUAUACAUGUAGACACAAAAUAACUGAAGAUAAAAUUAUGGUUCUGAACAAAGAAAAAAUAAUGAUUAUGAAGUCUAACUGUGUUUGAGAUUAGUUUAAGCCUGAGGUAGCUGUAUUUAUGUUUCACAAAGCUGGAAAAAAGCCUUUAUUGACAUUCUAAGAAACAGGUAAAAGCUAACAGUUAGAUAACCAAGAGAUGACAUUUAAAAAAAAAUUUAAAAAAGACUGAAUUACAGAGAUUUCACAAGCAGAUUGGAAAUUCAAUUUACUAGGGGAAAAAAGAUCCCAAAACAUGCAUACUCAUUGGAAAUCCAUACACUAAGAAACAAAUAAGAUCUCUAUUUAAUGAAAGGGAUAGGAAAGAGCUAUAAUUUUCUAUAUAACACAAAUUGAAAACACUUAAGCCUUUUCACCUAAUUAUAAAAUACUGUUUGGAAAAGAAAGGGAAAAAAAGACAACUGAGGAUAAUAGAUAACCAUAACCAAGACAGAUGAAUCAAGAAGAAGCACUAACAAAAUAUCAGGACCAUACAUUUUCCAAGAUUCUCCAAAGUGUUUUGGUGAUCCUAUCAACAUACAUCCUGAAAUAACACCUGAGUGAACCAUCUUCCAAAUUUCCAACUAGGGAGUUUUUGUUUUUCUUUUUUAGUGUAAAAGACAUUGAAUUAAAGACAUUUUAAUUUUUUAAAUGACCUAUUAAUACCUUAUAGUACAUAUUAAAAUACCAUAAACUCAGCAAAUAUACUCAGCAUACAGUAGUUAGAUUCUUAAAAUAAGAAUAAAAAAAAAAAACCAUGCAAACUAUCUUUGAGUUUUCAAGCAAAUAACUUUUCAGAUAUACCAUCAAAGAUAAU